AUUGAACGCUGGCGGCGGGCCUAACACAUGCAAGUCGAGCGGAUGCAUGGAGCUUGCUCCUGGAUUCAGCGGCGGACGGGUGAGUAAUGCCUAGGAAUCUGCCUUGUCUUGGGGGAUAACGUCCUGAAACGGGCGCUAAUACCGCAUACGUCCUGAGGGAGAAAGUGGGGGAUCUUCGGACCUCACGCUAUCAGAUGAGCCUAGGUCGGAUUAGCUAGUUGGUGGGGUAAAGGCCUACCAAGGCGACGAUCCGUAACUGGUCUGAGAGGAUGAUCAGUCACACUGGAACUGAGACACGGUCCAGACUCCUACGGGAGGAAGCAGUGGGGAAUAUUGGACAAUGGGCGAAAGCCUGAUCCAGCCAUGCCGCGUGUGUGAAGAAGGUCUUCGGAUUGUAAAGCAAUUUAAGUUGGGAGGAAGGGAAGUAAGUUAAUACCUUGCUGUUUUGACGUUACCAACAGAAUAAGCACCGGCUAACUUCGUG
rnacentral:rRNA from 1 species